CUUUAACACAACUAACAAAUCCAAACAAUCCACCAAUAAUCACAGUUGACACAAUUGGUAAGAAUGUAUUAUUUAUUGCUCGACCUGCCUUUAGGAUAACCUAUACCAAAAGGAAUUUAUUUUUGAGAAAACAACCAGCAAAUCAAACCUUGUAUAGUCCUGAUAAUAAUAAUAAUAAUAAUAAUAAACACAAUAUUAAAAUGGUCCUGGGUCAAACCAACAGCUCCAUGGCUGACAGGUUUCCUGUUAAUUGACACCCUAUUCUCUUCAUAGCGUACUACUUUAGAUAAGGGUCAUUGGGCUAAAAGUAGUUCACUAUGUACAAUCCCAAAUACAACCUGGGCCCCUUUUCUCUAUUAACUGGAUUAGAUCUGUAAAAAUGUAUGGGUCCAAGCUGCAUGGUAACAGAUUCACCCUGUUCUCAGAUAGGCUCCUCAUGACUAGACCUUUUAAAAUCACAGAUAUUUGUAUUUAAAAAAGAAAGUGCAUUAGUGACAUUACUAGAUAAAGUGGCAGGACAAAUAAAAUAAAAACAGCAACAUCUGAAGCGUGAGGACUGGAAAUGGUGGUUUAAUAAAGCCCUGAUCAUAUAUUAUCAAAGGGAAACCUACAGUGGAUGUCUCAGCUGUGGAUUGGUGAAUCUGCUGUGUUGAACAAACAUUGUGUGUAUCAGGAAGACAAACUACAGUGGAUGUCUCAGCUGUGGAUUGGUGAAUCUGCUGUGUUGAACAAACAUUGUGUGUAUCAGGAAGGCAAACUACAGUGGUGGUUGCUGUUAGAAAACACAAACAACAAUGUUAAGCACGGUUGCAAGAGGCUGGUAACUUCCUCAUUAAGACUUUCCAGGUUUCCCAAAGACCCAGAAAACAAACCAGGAAGGUUACCAGCCAUUCUGCAAUUUUGCUGUAUAUGUGAGUGAAUCAUAAACACAAAAACAUGGAGGCACAAUACUAAAUACAAGGGGAUAGAUUAAAUCAUAGUGAACCACCUGUCAAAGAGAAUUAACCAACAGCAUGAGACCAAGAGGGCAGUCAACACUACAUUAAGUACUUGCUCAUAUAGAAGAUUAGAGGGAUUGUAUGUACUUCAGUAGGGUCACGUUAAGAAACUUUGAGCCUAGAACAUACUUUCUGAGUUAAACGGUCAAUAAUGGAUCAAUCAAGGCCCUGUUCAUCUGUAACAUUUCACCCUGAAAACCCUGACACUUUGGUGUCAAUAAAACAACAUUGGUGAGUUUCCCAAAUGGUCCCCUAUUACAUGUAUACUACACUACCUGGUCUAAAGUAGUCCACUAUACAGGGAACAGGGACCAUUAGUUCAACCAGCCCUUUCAGAGGACUACACUACCUGGUCUAAUGUAGUCCACUAUACAGGGAACAGGGACCAUUAGUUCAACCAGCCCUUUCAGAGGACUACACUACCUGGUCUAUAGUCCACUAUACAGGGAACAGGGACCAUUAGUUCAACCAGCCCUUUCAGAGGACUACACUACCUGGUCUAUAGUCCACUAUACAGGGAACAGGGACCAUUAGUUCAACCAGCCCUUUCAGAGGACUACACUACCUGGUCUA
ensembl:lncRNA